rnacentral:rRNA from 1 species
GCAGUCGAGCGGACAGAUGGGAGCUUGCUCCCUGAUGUUAGCGGCGGACGGGUGAGUAACACGUGGGUAACCUGCCUGUAAGACUGGGAUAACUCCGGGAAACCGGGGCUAAUACCGGAUGGUUGUCUGAACCGCAUGGUUCAGACAUAAAAGGUGGCUUCGGCUACCACUUACAGAUGGACCCGCGGCGCAUUAGCUAGUUGGUGAGGUAACGGCUCACCAAGGCGACGAUGCGUAGCCGACCUGAGAGGGUGAUCGGCCACACUGGGACUGAGACACGGCCCAGACUCCUACGGGAGGCAGCAGUAGGGAAUCUUCCGCAAUGGACGAAAGUCUGACGGAGCAACGCCGCGUGAGUGAUGAAGGUUUUCGGAUCGUAAAGCUCUGUUGUUAGGGAAGAACAAGUGCCGUUCAAAUAGGGCGGCACCUUGACGGUACCUAACCAGAAAGCCACGGCUAACUACGUGCCAGCAGCCGCGGUAAUACGUAGGUGGCAAGCGUUGUCCGGAAUUAUUGGGCGUAAAGGGCUCGCAGGCGGUUUCUUAAGUCUGAUGUGAAAGCCCCCGGCUCAACCGGGGAGGGUCAUUGGAAACUGGGGAACUUGAGUGCAGAAGAGGAGAGUGGAAUUCCACGUGUAGCGGUGAAAUGCGUAGAGAUGUGGAGGAACACCAGUGGCGA